rnacentral:rRNA from 1 species
UAGGGAAUCUUCCGCAAUGGGCGAAAGCCUGACGGAGCAACGCCGCGUGAGCGAAGAAGGCCUUCGGGUUGUAAAGCUCAGUCACCCGGGAAGAGCGAAUCGGAGAGGGAAUGCUCCGAUUGAGACGGUACCGGGAGAGGAAGCCCCGGCUAACUACGUGCCAGCAGCCGCGGUAAUA